rnacentral:rRNA from 1 species
AACGAACGCUGGCGGCAUGCCUAACACAUGCAAGUCGAACGAGACCUUCGGGUCUAGUGGCGCACGGGUGCGUAACGCGUGGGAACCUGCCCUUAGGUUCGGAAUAACUCCCCGAAAGGGGUGCUAAUACCGGAUAAUGUCUUCGGACCAAAGAUUUAUCGCCUUUGGAUGGGCCCGCGUUGGAUUAGCUAGUUGGUAGGGUAAAAGCCUACCAAGGCGGCGAUCCAUAGCUGGUCUGAGAGGAUGAUCAGCCACACUGGGACUGAGACACGGCCCAGACUCCUACGGGAGGCAGCAGUGGGGAAUAUUGGACAAUGGGCGAAAGCCUGAUCCAGCAGUGCCGCGUGAGUGAUGAAGGCCUUAGGGUUGUAAAGCUCUUUUACCCGGGAUGUUAAUGACAGUACCGGGAGAAUAAGCUCCGGCUAACUCCGUG